UUAUUUGACAAUUUACAAUGAUAGGAAAAAGUUAAAAAUAAAAAGAAAGAAAAGCAACUCCACUAAGAAGCAAUUAUGCAAGCGUUGAGGCCCCCACAACAUGUGAUUUUUUUUUCUUGUUCCCACGUUUUUGCUAGUCAAUGACGGCUGCCAUUAUAAGUACUGCCCUUAGAGCUCAUCGUUUGGAGCACACAACAAGCUAGUUAGUUCAUUAUAAAACAGAGUUAUUUAGAGAGCAUUAAUUCAAGCAAGAUAAAUUUCUUUUUCUCCUUUAGUUUUCUUCAUGGCUCUACUGGGUAGUUUUAUUCCGAAGGCCUUGCUUCCAUCGGCCACUUCCACCAGACUCAGCUAUUAUCUACGUAAAGCUAUGAUCAUAACAUAUUGUGAUGGAACAAAAGGAACUUCCUCAGGAAGUCAACCACAACACAACGGAAACCCUUCCUCAGGAAGUGGUUCAACAAACAACCGAGUUGUCAGAAUGCAUGGAAGAUUUGACUUUAAACAGGAGUACUUAAUAUUUUCUGGCCGUAGAUGGAAUGCUGUUGAAGAUAAUAAUAAUGAAGAAGCAUAUCACUCCAAGUAUAUCCAGACAAAAUUCCUCAAGUGCCUACAAAAUAUGUGAUGCUCUCUUGAAUAAGCUUCACCGCCGCCAUUUGAAUAAGCUUCACUAAAGAGUGAGUGUGCAUGAGUGACUGUAAGCAGUGUCUUUUAGUGCGUGUACGUGAGAAUGAGAGAAGAAAAAAAAAUAAUUUUCAGUUUUCAAAGUGUGAGCUUAGAAUGUAAAAUUUCAGUUUAGUCCUUAUCAAUAAGAGAUUUCUUCACUCAAUUCCUUUUUUCA